rnacentral:lncRNA from 1 species
UUAGGACUGUAAUUACUCCUGGUGGUUUUUGUGACCCAGAAGAUUCAAGAAAAUUUGAAGCUGUAGGAUCUUUGGAAGCCAAAAGUUCCCAGGCAGAAGACGAACCACAGCGGCCUGCCAGAAAAUGGAAUACAGGCAUUUAUUUUCAGAAGCUAUCAAAUUUUCUACUUCCUAAUCGAUGAUGGAACCAAAUGCACACAAGAGUUGACCUUAAACUACAAGAC